UGCCCCUAUAGCCCAAUCGGAAGAGGCACUAGAUUAAGAAUCUAGUCGUUACUGGUUCAAACCCAGUUAGGGGUAU
rnacentral:tRNA from 1 species